CUCAUUUUUCUCCCUAGCCAAAAACUUUCAUCCUUACUACCCCUCCUCCUCUCAUUUUUCUCCCUAGCCAAAAACUUUCAUGCUCACUCUUUCUCAGGCUUGGAUCGGGAUUCAUUGAUAAAAACUAUUGAUGCACCAAAUGAGUGGUUGGAAGAGAAUUUAAAGGUUAAGCUUGAGGCAAUAAAAUUUCGAGCAAAGGGUUGCAAAAUGCAGACCAAUUAGAUAUUCUUUUUAAAGAUAUAGUAGUUACAAUAGUGGAGGAUAUGGAUCAUCUCUAGGAUUUGUACCUCAAAGUACUGAGUGCAAUUCAUCUAGACAUGUAGGAGAAAAUGAUGAUACAUUUGAAGAUACGAAGCAUAAUGAUAUGGAAUAUUCAAUACAUACUGCUGAGGAUUACACUCAAGGGAAAGGGAAAAAAAAAAGAAAAAGAAUAGGAUCAAAAGGUAAUGUUGCCAAUAAACUUUGUAAUUAGUUGGAAUGUGUGUGUGGAUCAAUAGAUAAUAGAAGAAGAGAUCUUUCAAAUUGCAGUAUUUUUUAAGUGAUGAAUGUCUUACGAGACAUAUCUGGAAUUGUAAAGGCGAUGAGCUUUUCAUGAAAGUUGUAGAUAUAUUUACAAAAAGAAAAAACAGAGAAAUUUUUGUAGUGCUACAAGAGUCCGAUAUCCAAGUUGCAUGGUUGAAGCAAAAGAAAGUUGGACAACCUUAGAUAUAUAGGAAAUGUUUGUUUGGAUAGUGUGACUUUUAAUUAUUUUGACAAUUACCAUUUUCGAGUGUUACCUUUGUUAUGAAUGUUUUAUCGUUACAAAAUUGUUAGGAUCUUUGGUUUCUAAUUUCUUUUUUUAAUUUCUUUAUGUUUUUCAGAUGUCAUUUGAUUAUUACA